GAGGAACCGUGGCCCACGCGUUCCCCGCUGGGACCUCCUCCGCUGAGCUCCAGCGCUCGGGUCGAAGCCCUGCCCCCCCCCCCGCCCCCCGCGCUGUGUCCCCUAUUCAGGGGGGUGGGGUGUGAGCGGUUAGUAUAGGACCUUGGUCUCCUCGGACUUUUCCAAUGUGGAAGUGGAAAGCAAGGAAAAGGCAGUGUAGCCUACCCAGCUCUGCUUAUUUGGACUUUCUGGAACACAGCUCUGAUGAAGUCACUCUCCUAUACAAGAAAUUCAAGAUAGGAUUCAAGAAACAAUGAUUUCAACCGGCCUACCUUUCCAAUCUCAUCUGUAGGAUGCAUUAUAUUACAGUAAAAGUAAAAUGUUGGGAAAUGGACUGGACUUUCUUACCUCAUUUGGUCAACUUCUGGGACAUCUAAAUCUUGACGGAAAUAAGUUGGACCUGCACCCAGCUAUAAUAGUAACCAAAGUAGCUUCUCUUUGAAAAAAGCAUAAAGGACUCAUUGGAAAUUGCUAACGAGACAUUUUGAAAAUAGACAAUAAAUCUUAGUUAUACAUAUGCGAAACUAUAAAAUUUGUCUUAUGGAAAAUUUUUAGUUUACUAAAACUCAUGCCUUUCCUGACACCCUCAAAAGGAGGUGGCAACUAAAAAAGAGAGAUUUUAAAUAACUCUAUAGAAGAUAGAAGAGAGAUAAAAAGAAAAAAGGGUUGCUAGAGCAGAAACUUUACAAACCAGAGCCAGUAGGUCAGCAGGAGCUAUUGGAGAAAGGAUUGAGAAGGGGAUAGGUGGCUGGGGAAGAGAGGAGCUUCAGAAGAAGAACAGAUGGGAUCAAUGAGGAUUUUCAUCAGGAUUUCAGGCACAAUGUGUAAUGUAACCUUCCUUCUCUUUCAUUCCCCAUAUAGUCCUUAGUAAAGUAUCCAACUCUCUCCAAAGUCUUAGGGAGUUGAUUUUCUUUGUGGAACUCCUAAGAGGUGCUGAGUUGGCCUCCAACAAACAGAUUGAGAAUGUAGAGGGCCCUUGAACACAGCCAUAUCUUGGUUAAACCACUAACGUACAAUGAAUAUACAGCGACUCCGAUGACAGUUCCAAGUCCUCCUUGGGAAGAAAAUGGCAAUCAUUGGAUUCAAUCACUCAAUAACUGGCAAUAAGUUGACCCAGAAUGAUUUUUCCCCCUAUAUAUUCUACUCUAUUUUUGUCCAGCAAAACCCAUGCUGCAUCUUGCUUUAGAAAUUUUACUGUGAUAUAUCUUGAUCUUUACUUGGGCACUUGCCCCUAGUGCAGUCCAUAUAUACAGAAAUCUAUUUAUAGCUUCUAUGGAAAAGUUUUUCUUUUCAAUAUGAUCUUUAAGUGCUGACUGGCUGCAAACAAUGAUAUUCUCUACGUCUGCCAUCUCUUUGUAAUAUCAGUGACCAUCUAAGCUCUUACUCACAAUGAACAAGCAAGUUAGAGACGGGGUUUAAACCCUCUAGUAGGAUACAGUUGCUUCCUGCUUCACAUGAGAUCUGAAAAUAGAUUGCUCUACAUUGACAGUGACAAGACCCUUUCUGUCAACACUGUGAAGCUUCUAUCCUUCCUAAUCUCUGUCAGCGAUGGCUUAGGAAUGCCAAAAUACUUUAAUAGCUUAUGGGGCCAGUGUACAAAUGAUUGAUAUCUUAACUGUAAAUGAAAUUCCCGGACAGGCAGAGAAAUCAGAAGACUGGGGGAAAAGAGUCUAAAUGCAUUGCUUACUUUGGGGUUGGUUAAUCGACAUAUGUUCUACCAGUUUCCAUUGCUGUACCUCUCCUCUGUUGUCUUAUCUGAGAAUAUCUUCUUUUUUCACUUCAGUCUAUCUAAAAUUCACAUAGCUUGACCUAACUUCUAUUUUCCCUUAAUUUUGAGGCUUUUGCCAAAUUAAAAGUGAUUUCAUUCUCUACUGAA